UUAGCUGAAUGAGGCACCGGAAGGGGUUAGAAUUACUGCAGUAGGAUUAAGACUUUAUUAGUUCUCAUGUUUUUAAUGGCAGUGUCUCAUUUUGAUUUCUCAGGUAGGACGUUGAACUUCGAGGAGAAGACAUGACCUCAUUACCUCCCAUACUUUUAUUGUGUUUUACUUACAUGGGUACUUCUGGGAGUCUCUGAGAGAUUCAAGCUUUCAGUCCAGCUGAAUAGCAGUGCAGCCCUGACUGAGCAGUUCGGCUCAGCACAAGGAGCUGGAGCACAAUGGGAAAACUUCCUUUGUCAGAAAUCUCACAGCAUCUCUCUCCAAAGCUGUUUUCCUUACUUCUCAGGGUGAAGCAAUCUGCCCAUGAGUGAGAGGUGUGUGCCAGCCACUGACUGUGAGCAAACAGUGAUUGAUGGGCCCCACAGGGUCACGCUGCACAGUCCCACCACCACACAUCACAGCUCCUGGCUCAAGGGGAUUUCCCAGUGAGUGUCAAGCAGUCAGUGUCAGCAUUUUCCUGGAGAAGCUGGAAGCCUGGGACUUGGACUGGUGCACUUUUCACUGGGUUAAGGACUGGAUUAAGGACAGGGUUAAGGACUGGGUUAAGGACAGGCCCAGAGAGUAGUGGUGACUGGACUUACAUCCAGCAUGUGGUCAGUCAGCAGUGGAGUUCCCCAGGGCCCAUUGUUGAGCCCAGUCCUGUUUAAUAUCUUUAUCUGUGAUGUGGAAGAGGUGUUCGAGUGCACCCUCAGCAAGUUCACAAAUGUCGGUCUCAGAUUCAGUCAAAGAGAGAAAUUGAGAGUUUCUAACAGGUAGAAGCCUGGGAAUUUGUUGGGAAAUAAUGUAAAUAAGGUCCUUUAUCUCUCUUGUUGUUCACAUCAUUUAUAGUUAAGUUCUACCACUGUGCGUCAUGCACUGUGCACCAGUGGUGUCGGUUGUUUUUACUUCAGGACCAAUGGAAUUGGCCCAGAUGAAGCUUUGUAUAAAGAGCGAUGCAUUUUGAAAUAAAUCAGUUUUACUCU